GGUUAUAAAUGUCUUUUAACCUUCAUUAAAGAUGAAGGUAAAAGUGGUUAGUGCAAAAAAUAGUAUUUUGAAAAUUGUAUUUUUGGCAAUUUCCCUUGGUUCUUUAUUCCUGCUAAUUUGUUUUUCAUCAUUAUUUCGCUUAUUUUUACAAGGAAAAUUUAAGCUUCUUGACGUUCACUUCAGAAAAAUAGCAAAUCGGACAGCGAAACAAAGCUUGGGUAACGAUCCGUGAAACGUGUCUGUUACGGCGAUGCUUUGAAACGGACUGUUACCGUUACCAUUAUCGGUGGCGAAGGUACAUAGGCAAAAGGUGGGGUAGUUGCCCACCAUAGUUUUACAAUUUUCUGUGCAUUUUAAAAAAAAAAUUUAACAAAUGCACCUAUUGAUAUUGUUGAUAAAUUAUGUAUAUGCCCCGGAUGAAAAUUAACUUCUAGAUCCUCCACUGACCAUUAUACCAAGAAUUAGUUGAACCGGCUGAAGACCAAACCACAAAAAAAAACUCUUCGAGCCUUUGAGUCAAAUACAUUAUAUGAAUUUUGAAAUUUAUAAAUAACUACAAUGAUAUAUUUGCGGUAUACUUUUAGUGGGUGUGGUUAGGUACCGUAUGUAUUUGGUCGCCAUUGACGGAUGAAGAGUGUGGAGAUUCGAAACGUUGUGAGAUACCAAGGAGCGCGUAAGAAAAAGUGAAAUUUGAAUUAAUGGCGUAUUGGGCUUUAAUGGAGCCCAUCUAUAAUGUUGGACCGUUGAGGGCGAAGUUUAAUCUUGCGCUUUUACCCCGAGUCGUGGAAAAUGCAGGACCGUCAGUAUCCAACGGAUCUCAAAUCGGUUUGGUUUGGAAAAUGUAUCCGUUAAAUAAUCAUUACUAACAAAGACGCAAUGUAUCCGUUAGAAAAUUAUACCAAAGACUCAACGUUACAUACAUAAAAGCAGAAAAAAAAACAUAAGUAAAAGCAGACAAAAUCUCUCUCUAUCUCUCUGUUCUUGACGAAGCUUCGUUUGUUCGGCGGUUUGUGCAUUCGGGAACUCGUGAGAAUCUUGGAUUAUGAUGUUGAAUCAACAAGGGAAGAAGGGAAGCGCUUGACUCUGCGUGAAACCGUCGUUGAGAUAAGACACCAAGAUAUCUUCGUCUCCCUCUGCUCUUGUUCCAUGGAAUCAAUCCGCACGAUUUUACUAAUCUGACGACUCAAUUCGUUGAGAUUAAUUGCCACAGAUCAUUUCCAUCCUCGUCCAUGAGAUUUCCUAAGUCGAUAUCUGUAAGAUUUAAGCUGAGUCAUGACAAACGAAAAGGCUAUUUCAAAAGAAGCAAAACCUAAAUCAAUAACAGAAGCAAAAUUCAUCAAAGACAAUUGCGAAACAGGUAACAAUCAAGUAUUCUUAAAAGGACUUAAGAAGAGUUGUAGACAAACCUGCCUUAGCUUAUACAAAAGAUAAGUGGACAACAAAUAUUUAUAUACUCACGUUUUAUCUGUUUGACUUUGAAAAGACUUGUAUUUCUUAUACAUUAGCUAAUUGACCUCUUUUAUAUAUGUUUCAGCCAGCUUCUUACAAAUCUCUUUCACAGAGAGUUCUGUCAUAUGAUGUAUUGAAGAAACAGAGAAAAAAAAGAAGAGAAUUUCAGAUAACAAAGGAUUUGACGCAGUUUGGGCUUGGAACCUUGAUGCAAAGUUUGACCGAAUAUCAUUCAGCAGUCUUGGAAAAACAGUACUCAAAGGAAAUGCGCAGUGAUAACAGGAACUGUGAAUUACCACGAAUUUAAAGUACAUAGUAAUGAAAACAAUAGAUAGACAUAGAAGGGUUUCAUAAUCUAGCUAAAGCAUCUAUCACCUUGUUAUCUUCCCAAUUUAUCCAUUGAAAAGAGAUAUCUUGAAUCUUAUCAGCCCACCACCGUAUUUCUCUUUUCCAAUUGUAAGAAGCAAAAGGUAGCACCUUAUCAUUUAAUAUGCCGAUGGCUUUUUUACAGUCAGAUUCUAUGAUAAUCUUUUUGUAUCCUCUUCUCCAACAGUAUUGUAUUGCCAUAAGAA